GACGAACGCUGGCGGCGUGCUUAACACAUGCAAGUCGAACGGAAAGGCCCUGCGUUUGUGGGGUGCUCGAGUGGCGAACGGGUGAGUAACACGUGAGUAACCUGCCCUUGACUUUGGGAUAACUUCAGGGAACUGGGGCGCAUACCGGAGAGGAUCUCCUGCUGCAUGGUGGGGGUUGGAAAGUUUCGGCGGUUGGGGAUGGAUUCGCGGCUUAUCCGCUGGUUGGGGGGGUAGUGGCUUACCAGGGCUUUGACGGGUAGCCGGCCUGAGAGGGUGACCGGCCACAUUGGGACUGCGAUACGGCCCAGACUCCUAUGGGAGGCAGCGGUGGGGAAUAUUGCACAACGGGCGGAAGCCUGAUGCAGAAACCCCGCGAGCGGGAUGACGGCCUUCGGGUUGUGAACCGAUUUCGCCUGUGACGAAGCGUGCGUGACGGUAAUGGGUAAAGAAGCACCGGCUAACUACGUG
rnacentral:rRNA from 1 species